UGGGAGCAAAAUGCAUUGAAUAUUUUAAACUGGAAAGAUAUUUUAAAUUGACUUUAAUGGAAACAUAUUUUAUUGUUGGGACAGAUAGGUUUGUUUUACUUUUGUUUUGUUGCCAUGGGAACUCAAGGAACACUGUAGUCUGGGUAUUCCAAUGAUAGCAAUUUGCUGGUACCACCCUUCCCCCAGCUUCAUUUUCUGAUGGAGAUGGUGACACCACGAGGGACCCUCUUUACUGAGAAGAAUGACAGCAUUACCUCUGAGUGUGGGAAGGAGGAGGAGGGAAAGCAGAGAAUUGGGUGGGAGAGACACCCCAUGGACGCCCAAGGACCCCUCACUCUGGGUUCUGAGAGCCCUGGGCCAACCUGGCUCUCUAGAUGGGUGCUAAGGAGACUUUAAUUUCCUUUUCUAAUUUUGCAAGUUCACAAAGUAGGGCACCAUUCUCAUUUCGGUUCCUUUUUUUUUUUUUUCAUUUUUUCUUUCAUUUUUUUUUUUUUUUCUCCCCUUCACUCAACUCAGCAGCUGGCUGGCUGACAGCAGUAAAAAAU
rnacentral:lncRNA from 10 species